rnacentral:rRNA from 1 species
UACGUAGGGUGCGAGCGUUAAUCGGAAUUACUGGGCGUAAAGCGUGCGCAGGCGGUUUUGUAAGACCGAGGUGAAAUCCCCGGGCUCAACCUGGGAACUGCCUUUGUGACUGCAAGGCUUGAGUGCGGCAGAGGGGGAUGGAAUUCCGCGUGUAGCAGUGAAAUGCGUAGAUAUGCGGAGGAACACCGAUGGCGAAGGCAAUCCCCUGGGCCUGCACUGACGCUCAUGCACGAAAGCGUGGGGAGCAAACAGG